UAAAAUAAAAAAAUUUUUUUUAAGAAAGAGAAACAGUAAUGCUCAGUUCAGCAUAUUUUAUUUAUACAGAUUAAUUGGAUACAUUUUUAACUAUAAAGAAUUAACCAAAACUAUGGCAACCUUUUCUGAAUUGGGAUUCUGUUAAGUGUUCAGUUUAGGUUUUACUUUUUUUCUUUUGUAUUGAUAAUUUUUGGUGAAAGCCUUCAGACCAAAGUCAGUUUUGCAAAUCAGAAUGUGUCAAAAUUAGCUAAUGAAGGGCAUAAUUUAAAAUGUUCAGUGGAACACUGAAGUUAGAAAAUUCACUGUAGUUAGAACAUUUCUCACUUUAAAUGAUAUUUUAUAGUAACAUUUGAUUUCCCCAGAAUUAUGGAUUGUCAUAUAUUUGAACAGAGGUGAUAUUUUUUAAGUAAACAGUAAAUGAACUUUGAAAUUCAUUCAGUGAUGAAGAUCUAUAUAAUGAAAAUAAUAUUAGAAUGUUGUUUCACAUUAUCAUAUUUCAGUUGGUACAAAACUGGGAAGUCAUUAAGACCACAGAAACAUCAUAGAACUAUAACUAUACAUGAAAUUAAAAUGUCUUAAGACUUUUUAAAAAUUUAGAAUGUUUUCACUGCUUUAUAGUUUCUGGCAAUAUAUACUUCUCUUAAAUUAAUUUUAACCAUUUCCUUUGUAGUUAUUAAUGAAUUAAAUAAUGGUAAGUAGUACCAAGUGGAAGGUUCAAGGGGAGAUUCCUAAACUUUUGGAUUGGUCUGUAAUGACUCUGCUUACAGUGGCAGAAAGCUUCAAGGUAGAUUUUUGAAGAUGAUUCUUCUCUCCCCUGUCCCCCACCCUCUCUCAGUUAAAACUCAAGGAUCAAGCUACAUAAAGGUUGUUUUUUUUUUUUCCCCAAGUGUAAUUUGGGAGAGAGUAAGAGCAGUAGAGGAUUAGGGGUAAAGAGAGAGAGGGGAAGAGAGAAUAUCCCAAGCAGGUUCCAUGCUGUGAAUGUGGAACCCAACCUGAUUGCCAGUUCCACAAUCGGUGAGAUUAGGACCUGAGCCACCGAAACCAAGAGUUGGACACUUAACUGACUGAGCCACCCAGGUGCCCAGGGAUUAGUUUUUUUUUUUUUUUUUUAAUGUUUAUUUAUUUAUUUUGAGAGAAAGUGAGAGUGAUGGGGGGAGGAGCAGAGAGAGAGGGAAAGAGAGAAUCCCAAGCAGGCUCGGUGCUGUCAGUGCAGAUCCCUGCAGGCUGAGUCCCACGAAUCCUGAGAUCAUGACCUGAGCUGAAAUCAAGAGUAGGAAGCUUAAUCAACUGAGCCACCCAGGUGCCCCAUACAGGUUUUAUAGAUAAAGGUAAAUUAUGUUAUUGUUGAAGAAGUCCAAAUAUAGUUGUUGUAUUUUUUUUUUUUUUUAACAUUCAUUCACUUCAUAAAAUUGCUUUUCUGAAACAAGGAGCCAUGAGAUGUGGUGAAUACAGGCACACAUCAGAGAUAUUGCAGGUUCGGUUCCAGACCACUGCAAUAAACUGAAUAUUGCAAUAAAGCAAGUCAAGUGAUUUUUAUGGUUUCCCAGUGCAUAUAAAAGUUAUGUUUACACUAUACUGUAAUCUAUUUAAAGUGUGUAAUAGCAUUAUGUCUAAAAAAAGCCAACAUACAUAGCUUAAUUAAAAAAUAUUUUGCUAAAAAUUGCUAGCCAUCAUGUUCACUUCUGGCUGGUUGUAAUCUUUUUGCUUGUGGAGGGUCUAGCCCCAGUUUUGUUGGCUGCUGACUGAGCACAGUGGUAGCUGUUGAAGGUUGGGGUGGCUGUGGCAAUUUCUUUAAAUAAGACAACAGUGACUUUUGCCAUAUUGAUUGGCUGUGUUUUAUCACUAAUUUCUCUGUAGCAUGUAAUGCUAUUGGAUAGUAUUUUACCCGACUGUGUUUUAUCACUAUUUUCUCUGUAGCACGUAAUGCUGUUGGAUAGUAUUUUACCCACAGUAAAACUUCUUUCAAAAUUGGAAUCAGUCCUCUCAAACCCUGCAGCUGCUUUAUCAAUUAAGUUUAUAUAAUAUUCUGAAUCCUUUGUUGUCAUUUCAACAGUCGUCAGAGCUUCUUUACCAAAAGUAGAUCCCUCUCAAGAAAUCUCCUCAUUCAUUCAAGUUUUAUCAUGAAAUUACAGUAAUUCAGUCACAUCUUCAAGUUUCACUUCUAAUUCUAGUUUUCUUGGUAUUUCUGCCACAUCCGUAGUUACUUCUGUCACCGAAGUCUUGAACCCCUCAAAUUUAUCCAUGAGAAUUAGGAUCAGCUUCUUUUGAAUUUCUGUAGAUGUUGAUAUUUUGACCUCUUGCCAUAAAUCAUGAAUGUUCUUCAUGGCAUCUAGAAAGGUGAAUGCUUUCCAGAAGGUUUUCCAUUUACUUUGUCUAGAUUCACCAAAGCAAUCACUACCUAUGGCAGCUAUAACCUUACAAGAUCUAUUUCUCAAAGAAUAAGAUUUCAAAGUUGAAAUGACUCCUUGAUCUAUGUGUUGCAGAAUAGACGUUGUAUUUGCAAGCAUGAAAACAACAUUAACGUAUAUCUCCAUCAGAUCUCUUGGGUAGCCAGGUGCAUUAUAUUUUGAAAGCAGUAAUAUUUUGAAAGAAAUCUUUUUUCUCAGCCAUAGUUUUCAACAGUGCACUUAAAAUAACAGUAGACCGUGUAAACCUAUGUGCUGUCAUCCAGGCUUUGUUCCAUUUAUGGAACAUAAGCAUGGUAGAUUUAAUGUAAUCCUUAAGGACCUAGAAUUUUCAGAAUGGUAAAUGAGCAUUGGCUUUACUUUAAAGUCAUCAGCAAGACGCCUGGGUGGCUCAGUUGGUUAAGUGUCUGACUUAGCUCAGGUCAUGAUCUUGAGGUUUGUGAGUUUAAGCCCUGUGUCGGGCUCUGUGCUGACAGCUUGGAACCUGGAGCCUGCCUGCUUCAGAUUCUGUCUCCCUCUCUCUCUCUGUACCUCCUCUGUUCUCUCUCUCUCUCUCUCAAGAAUAAAUAAAUAUUUAAAAUAAAUACAUAAAGUCACCAGCUGCAUUAGCCCCUAACAAGAGUCAGCCCAUUCUUGGAAUAUUUGAAGUCAGGCAUUGACUUCUCUCUAGCUAUGAAAGUUCUAGAUGGGAUCUCCAGUAGAAGGCUGUUUCACCUACAUUGAAAAUCUGUUGUUUAUUGUAGCACCUUCAUUCAUUAUCUUUUAACAAAGUCUUCUGGAUAACUUGCUGCAGCUUCUACAUCAGCACUUGUUGCUUCACCUUGCACGGUUAUGUUAUGGAGAGGGUUUCUCCCCUUAAAGCUCAUGAACCAUCCUCUGCUAGCUUUAAACUUUUCUUCUGCAACUUCCUCACCUCUCUCAGCCUUCAGGGAAUUGAAGAGAGUUAGGACCAUGCCCUGGAUUAGGUUUUAGUUGAAGAGAAUGUUGUGGCUGGUUUGACCUUCUGUCCAAACUACUAAAACUUUUCCCAUAUCAGCAAUAAGACUAUUUUGCUGUCUUAAUCAUUCGUGUUUUCACUGGAGUAGCACUUUUUUUUUUAAGUUUAUUUAUUUUGAGGAGGGGGGGAGCAGGGAGGGGCAGAGAGAGAGGGAGAGAGAGAGAAUCCCAAGCAGCCUCUGUGCUAUGGGCACAGAGCUUGACACGGGGCUCAAUUCCAUGAACUGUGAGAUCAUGACCUGACCUGCAAGCAAGAGUUGGACGCUUAAUGGACUGAGCCACUGAGGCGCCCCUAGAGUAGCACUUUAAAUUUCCUUCAGAAUUUAUCCUUUGCAUUCACAACUUGGCUAAUUGUUUGGCAUAAGAGGCUACCUUUCAGCCUGUCUCAGUUUUCGUCAUGCCUUCCUCACUAAGCUUAAUCAUUUCUGGCUUUUGAUUUGAAGUGAGAGAUGUGUGACCUCUUUUCACUUGAACCUUAGAGGCCAUUGUAGGGUUAUUAAUUGGCCUGAUUUCAGUAUUGUUGUGUCUUAGGGAAUAUGGAGGCCAGAGGAGAAGGAAAGAAAAAGGGAGUGGCUGGUUGGUGGAACAGUCAGAACACACGCAUUUAUCAAUUGCAUUCGCUGUCAAAAUGGGCAUGGUUCAUGGUGCCAUAAAAGUUACAAUAGUAACAUCAAAGAUCACUGAACACAGAUCACCAUAACAAAUAUAAUAUUAAUGAAAAAUAAAUAUUCUGAGAAUUACCAAAAUGUUUUGCAGAGACACGAGGUGAGCAAAUGCUGUUGGAAAAUUACACCAGUGUGGACUUAGUCAAGACAGGGCUAUCACAGAUCUUCAAUU